GAACCCGUGGCGCAGUGGUAGCGCGUAUGAUUCCAGUCUCGGCUUCCAUAAGGUCAUCCGUUCAAUCCGGGUCGGGUUCA